UUUUCAAUCUUCACUUAAUGUUCAAUCACUGAUUUCGCUGAUUGAACGCACAAACCAAUUCUUAAUUUCGCUAAUUGAACCCUUACGAGUAAACCCUAUUUUUCACCAUUUUGUUUUUAGAAAACAAAAUUCUACCUCACCGAUUGUUAUUGUGCCAAGUAAUUUAAAAACCGCUAAAUCACUGUUUCGUCAACGCUGAUCGACAUAGUUAAUGAUUAGGGUUUGAUUGUAUAAUUUUUUCUACAAUAGAAACCAAAUUAAUACGCGUAUAAAUAAAAGUACUUAUUUGAGAUUUUCUUGUUAGGGAAACACAAUUUAAUCUCCAACUUUUGGACAUUGUACACGAGACACAGUGCGAGAGCUUUGGAUAAUACAGAAGAGAAUAGUAGCAUGGUGCAGAGAAAAUGGCACCCUUGAAAUCGCUGGAGAAAGAGUACCCUCUCAUUGACUCCAAUUUUCAAAGCUUCUGUGCCUCACACGCCAUUUUCUCUGUUCAAGAUUUCCUUCUGCAUGAUAUCGACGCAUUAAUUGCCUUGGCGGAUAAUCACUGUGCUUCACAGACUCUCAAGCAAGGAAUAGACCAGCUUCUGUCAAUAAUAGAUGCUCGUCAUCCACCGUUGCUAAAUGGCUUGCAGCUCUUGGAAGACGUUCAGCGGAAUAAACAUGUUUUGUCUACUGGAUGUGAAGGGAUUGACGCAUUGCUCGGAGGUGGAUUACGAGAAGGACAAUUAACUGAACUUGUUGGGUCAUCCGCAUCAGGAAAGACACAGGCAUGCCUACUGUCUGCUUCAACUGUUGCAAAACAUAAGAGUUCAGUUAUAUACUUAGAUACAGGCAACUCCUUUUCACCUCAUCGUAUUGCACGUUUUGUUGGCCAGUCUUCUGGUUAUGAUUCUGAAAAUCAGGCUGAUCAUAUGCUCAAAAAAGUAUUGGACAGGAUAAUUUGCCACUCAGUGUUUGACAUCUAUCAGAUGCUUGAUGUGCUGCAUCAACUGAAGAUUAAUUUAAGAUCUGAGAUUGUGAAAUCAAAUCAGCACGUUCGAUUGCUUAUUGUUGAUUCAAUCUCUUCACUGAUUACCCCCAUCCUUGGGGGCAGUAAUCCUCAGGGAACACAAGCUUUUAACUACCUGAGUUAAGAGAAUGUAAGUGCUUGCUAUUUAAAGAAGGAUGUAGAGGAGUAUGGUAUGCGUCUUGUGUAAACAUUAGUUUCCAACAAUUAAUUUUAAAGAGCUGCUUCUUGUUUUAUUAAUACUUUUCCAGCCAUAUUUCUCUAAUUAUCUGAGAACUAUGUAGCAAGUAAGUACUUCAUUCUGAUUUCAAAGUUUAACCUCUAAGUCACUAUUUUGUUCUUCUCAGAGACACAAAAAAAGCAAAAGAAUUGAUAUCUCCCAGGAAAGAGUAUAUAUUGUUUCGUAGAGGUUUAUAAAUUGAUUGGACUCUUGAAAUGAGGAGUCCGGUUAUAUGAAUCUUAAGCCAUUCUGCAAAUUGAUUAGAGGACAUGCUUUAAUGAUAUCUGCUGGGUAUUUACUGAAGAAGUUAGCUCAUGAGCAUAAUAUUGCUGUUUUGGUAACGAAUCAUGUGGUGCGUGGGGAAGAUGGUAUUUCCAAACCAGCUCUUGGAGAGAGUUGGAAGAGUGUCCCACAUGUACGGCUUUUGUUUUCCCAAGAUUGUGGAAGCAAUGUGUGCAAUAUUUCAA